ensembl:lncRNA LINC00320 long intergenic non-protein coding RNA 320
GGAUAACAUGACAUAGCAGGAAUAAUACUGCCUUUUCUUUCUGGCAUGGAUCAAGAGAAAAGAAAAUACAAGAAAACAGACAGAAGAUCCUAUCUGCGACAAUUAAGAGCACUCUAAGAGGAAAACACAUCCCACCACACAAGGCAAGGUACUUCUAUGGAAGGGUGAGCCCUCACAGAUGGAGCAAUGGGGCGCGCACACCUGAACAAGGGAGGGGAAGGAGUUCUUAUCCCUGAUGCAUGUGACCCCUGCUGCUGUGUCCUUCCCCUAUUGGCUAAGGUUAGACCACACAGCCUAAACUAAUUCCGAUUGGCUAAUUCAAAGAGAGCGACGGGGGCUUCUGACAGCUUUGGAGAUUGUGACAUUGGAAUAAAGGAAAAACGUACAGGACUCAUGAAGCGCUGAAAUGUUCACAAAUAUCAAGCAAAAGUCAAUGAAAUUUAUUUUGAGCUAUUUACAUCAUUUAAUAAUUGAGCAAGGUAUACUCCUAUGAACAAAAUUUGGAGCAUGUUUGUCUCUCUCUGCCUGGCGUCUUCAGAAUUUGGAAACUAGUUGUCAGGAGUUAACUUUUAUGUGACAAGCUUUACUAGGUCAGGAGCCUAUCGCUGUUUAUAUUCUCUGCAAAGUUUUAAUUGUGAAAAAGGAUUUGAGAGUCAUGGAAAUUUAUUUUGAGCUAUUUACAGCAUUUAAUAAUUGAGCAAGGUAUACUCCUAUGAACAAAAUUUGGAGCAUGUUUGUCUCUCUCUGUCUGCCUGGCAUCUACAGAAUUUGGAAACUAGUUUCGUUCCCAGAUUUCCUAAACUUUCCAGAGAAAAUGGUCUUCUCCCUGGCUCAGCAAGAAGAUGAACUUUAAACACUGAGAAACUGGUCAUCUCCCUGGCUCAACCAGAAGAUGAACUUUAAACACUACUCUCAAUGACUUGAUGUUCCCAUCACUACUCCUGUCAUAAAGGGAGGGGACUCAGAUAUUGAGAAUUUUAUGAUAGUGUGAACUGUCUGGUAUGUCAUUUAAGUAAGCCCGUUGCUGAAAUAUUUUCCAUGUUAUUAGAAAGAGCUGAAGAGAGGGAUUGAGAUGGCUUCUUUAUUUUUUGUCUUUUGGGAAUUAAAGGAACCUGGUUCAACAAGGGCCUACACCUAAGUCUCUUGUUGUACCAGAGUACAAUUUAGGACUGCUCCUGAGGAAGGAAUUAGCUAGAAAUCUAGAGAGUAAGGGUAACAGAUUUACAUAGAAUAACAGCCUCAGUAUUUUUGGUUCCUCUCCAGUAAAGAUCACAAAGAAUAUUGCUAAAUCGCUAAAACACCUUUGCAAUAACGUAAGGGCUUACAACUAUAUACCAAUGUAGCUCAGUUACUAAACUGGAGUAAACUAAUUUCUCUUGUGUAGAAAAAUUGGUUGGCUGUGGUUUUAUAGCAGAUCUGCAAUUAUUAAUAGUUAUGCCAAUAAUCGUUUAACAGUGCAUAUGUUAAUAUAUAUGGAAAGACAAUGUGUAUAGACAGAUGUGUAAAAUUGAAAAAUAAACAUAUAACAAGAGAGAAACAUCUAUCGAACAGACAAUAUACAUACACAUCAAACACAACAGCAGUUUUAGUGACCAUAAUAUUUAUUUCUCAUUUUUACAUUGCUUACUUUAGUGACAACUGAAAAUGACAGUUGGCAAUGCAGCUAACAGUUUCAAUAAAAGUAUAAAACAAAAGACUGUGUACAAAGCACCUGUCUUUCCGCUUUUGUAAUCUUCCGUUGGAAAAAAUUUACACACCUAAGUAACCAUCUGUUUUCUUCAAGAAAAAAUCAUUCUUAUUUCUCUCUCUCAUCUUGAAAACAGCUGUCAGCCAGGAGGGCAGAGCUGAAAUUUAUUGCCACAUCACAUGAAGCAUAGAACAGACUCCACUACUCCUUGAGAUUCAAAACUUUGCCUCUCACAAAGUUACCUUUUAUUUUCCUCUUGUUUGUCACUCAUCUCCCCUAGUGUGCUCUUUUUAUUUCUUUUACUAUUAAUAAUAAAA